rnacentral:lncRNA from 12 species
CUGCCCUUGGCCCAGGUCGUGAUCUCAGGGUCCCGGGAUCGAGUCCAGCAUCGGGCUCCCUGCGUGGAGCCUGCUUCUCCCUCUGCCUGUGUUUCUGUCUCUCAUGAAUAAACAAAAUAUUAAAAAAAAAAAAAGACUCAGGGCAGCCCGGGUGGCUCAGCGGUUUGGUGCCGCCUUUCAGCCCAGGGCCUGAUCCCCGCAUGGAGCCUGCUUCUCCCUCUGCCUGUGUCUCUGCUUCUCUCUCUCUCUCUCUCUGCCUCUAAUGCAUAAAUAAAAUCUUAAAAAAAAAAAAAAAAAGACUCAGCUUCACAAGGCCAGGGUUUUCAGACCCCAAGCACUCGGAGUUCUGCGGGGAGGCCCUCUUCUGAGUACUGUCUCUCUUGCCCAGAGCACCGCCGGAGACGCUGGAAAGCGCUUCUCAGAAGCACGUGCAUGGCUUGGCUCCCUUCCUGAGAACAAGGCAGGAGGAGAGGAGCAGGACAGCCCAGCAGAGAUCCCAACACAGACGUCAUCACAUCAAAGCCCCCCGCCGAGGCCUGCCUCCCGCCGAUUCCAAAUGCAUCGACAUAAUGGACUCGUCUCCCCAGGACAAACCUCCAAGGACUCAGUAUUUACUAUGCACUACUUCUACUUGCUGUCUGGCGUGCGCAUGUACUAAGAAUGCAUGUCGAGGGUCCACGGAUAAGGCAGUGUAUAUGGAAGAUGGAGAGAGAACUCCGUAAACCACCGAGGGCCUAGGCCAUGAGUUCCACAUCUUCACUCUCUGUCCGCUCAUCAGUGCCAGCUUGUCUGAAACCGAAAUCAUCUUCUUCAAAUCCAUUCCAAUUCCACAAAUCGGUGUUUGAGGAUGUGCUUCCCUCCCCAGCAGGGCUCUCCUUCCUGCAUUACCACUUGCUAGAGUCAUAGCACCUAAACCAUUCUCCUUUGGGACAUUCAGGUUCGAAUUCUGGAGCCACUGGCCAUCAAACCCUAUCACUGUUCCAAUUUUUUGUAAGUCUUAGUGCGGGGCCUCCCGUUCCCGUCACUGGCGUGCCACACCGUGAGCUCAUCGCUUCCCUCCUGAACAGCUCUCUUUGCUGGGCCAUCCACUUACAGCCUGUCGUCCCUUCAAACUAACCUGUGUCCAGCCACUUGUCAAAGUCAUUUUUAUCCUGUCACUUCUACGCAGAAGCCUUCAGUGGCCCCUUUCAACGGGCCAUUAUUAAAUGACAUGCUAACUUAUCCUGACACAUGGGUCUCUCUUUAAUUCAACCUCAACCCAUCCAUCUUGUGGGUUUUUUGUUUUUUUUAAUCACACAACUUGUUAUCCCUGCCUCCUUUUGAAGUGUUGCAUGCACCAACUCCUGUAUUCUGGUGACUUCUCUUGCUCACUGGGCCAUGUUGGAUAAUUCACAUAACCUCUUUCAUCUCAGCCCCAUCAUCUACAAAGUGCGGAUAAUACUAAUAAUAUCUUCUUUGAAGGAUUGUUGUGAGAACAAAGCAGAUGCAUGAAUGCAAAGACCAUCAUUGAUUUGUUCAGUUUUGCAACCAGGACAGAGCUUGGCCAGACAGCCCGCAGCUGCACCAGGCAGCAUCAGCUGAGGUGGGUCAGUGGGGUGGGAGGAUCUAUUUCCAGGAUGGCUCGCGAUGGCUUGCUCCCAUAGCUGGCGGGGUGGGGUUGUUGGCAAACUCGGCUGGGGUUAUGGUCCUGGAGCCUGAGUCGUUCUCCCAUUUGGGCUUCCCAUGUCAUUUCCUGUCAACUGGGUUUUGAGAGUCAAGCAGAAAAUGCCAGUCUUCUUAAAGGCUAGGCCUGGAAAUAACUAGCACAGCAUAAUGUCCUCCACAAUAAUGCAUUUGUCAAAGCAUUGGCCCAGCAAAGUCAUGGGCCAGCUCAGAUUCAAAGUGUUGGAGCAGGAGACUCCACCUCUCCAGGAGGGCCGGGCCUGUGCACCCCUGGGGAGGAAAGAAGUGAUGGCAGCCAUCUUUUGAGACAAGAUACCAUCAUACCAUCUUUGUGAUUCCAUACUUUGGUUUUUAGGAUUUUUUAUUCAUCCGUUUGAGAGAGAGAGAGAGAAGGAGAACACUUGAGAGAAUGAGCGAAGGAGAGGCAGAGGGAGAAAGCGAAGCUGACUCCCCACUGAGCAGGGAGCCCGAUGUGGGGCUCGAUCCCAUCCCAUAGCUUGUCUAGUAGAGAUGCUCAACAAAUAUUAGACAAUUACUGAACUCUUUUUUUUUUAAUUUUAAUUCCAGUUCAGUUAAUGUAGUGUUAUAUUAGUUUCAGGGGUACAAUAUAGCGACUCAACAAUUCUACGUGUACUACUCAGUGCUCAUCACGAUACGUGCACUCUUCAUCCCCCUCACCCCACCCACCUCCCCUCUGUUAACCAACUGUCUGUUCUCUAGAGUUAAGAAUCUUGUUUUUUGGUUUCUCUCUCUCUCUCUUUUCUUUUCCUUUGCUCAUUUGUUUUGGUCCUUACAUUCCACAUGUGAGUGAGACCCUGGUCUUUGCCUUCACAGCUACUGAACUCCGAAGGCCUGUACCUUUCAUCUGCCAAACGGUCCCUGGGAUCGUGGCCUUAAUCGUGAGGUGGCUUCUUCCCGGCGUUCUGAUUAGCUAUGACGUUCCAGGUGAAUAGUAAGCUCUUUGAGGGCAAGGCUCCGAGCUACCAUAUACAUUUUGGUAUCCCUCCCCCACCCAGACCGACACCCAGUAGGUGCCUCCACAUGCAACCCUUGAUUUCCUUUUCUGCACUGGCAAGGGAAUAGACGAGUUGCUUCCACUGAAUUUUUGUCCAAUGCAAGGCUCACUAGGCUCCAGGGAAGUUUCAGAGAAACGGUCUCUUUGUUCUGCAGCCCUGUGCAGAGCUGGGGCCAGAACCUUCCAGAGGGGGAGGCUCAGAGAGGCAGUCGCAGACGGGGGACGUGGGGAGGAAAUUCCAUCCCAGACCCUCAUUUCCGAAACUGCUCUGUGAUUAGCCCGGCCUUGCGCCGGCCUGGGCCAGAGGCAGAGAAGGCCGGCCCCUAGGUCAUAAAAGCACUGGGAAAAUACAAAUGCAGCCCCUUUACAGCCUCAAACAGGAGGUUCAAGGAUCUGCUUUGUUGUUUGUUUAUCUCUCAGACUGAAGCCAAUUACUCAGGUUACUUUUUUUUUUUUUUAAGUUUACUAGAGAUUGUAUUUUAAGUGCAUUUCUUCUCAAAAAGGCCUCUACUGCACAUUUUUUUCCCCCUUUGGUUCCAAGGGCUCAAGCCUGGUCUCCGGGGCUGGGAGGGCAGGCCUGGGGUCACAUGUCAGAGGUCAGGGGCCCCCUGAUUGUUCCCAAAUGCGCUUCCAAGUAACCAUAGAUUUGAACUUUGCAUUGUUGUGGGCCCCGGGAGAGAGAGAGACCCGGGGGAGGGGGGAGGCCUUCUGUGCGUUCAAAGGCGGCUGCUCUGGUUUCACUGGGCCCAGGUUUCCAUCCUGAAGCGGGUCCCCAGGGGAGGGGGGGGGCUCCCGUGGGUGGGGGUGGGGUGUGAUCCAGGGCCGCAAAUCCAGAGCCAAAACACCCAGGUCAGCGUCAGAGGCUGCAGAUUCCCCGACUGCUUUCUAAAGCCCAGAAAGCCAGUAGAGGUUGUUCCUUGCCCAGAACCAACCAGUAGCUACCCACUUCCCAGCCCAGGCAGUAUGCGUCAGGGGUAGCUAAGUGCACGGGGCACCUGGUAGCUCAGGGGUGGAGCACCUGCCUUGGGCCCAGGGCCUGAUCCCAGGGUCCCAGGAUCGAGCAGGGAGCCUACUUCUCCCUCUGCCUGUGUCUCUGCCUCUCUCCAUGUCUCUCAUGAAUAAAUGAAUAAAAUCUUUAAGAAAAAGAUGUGUA